UACGAAGGGGGGCUAGCGUUGCUCGGAAUCACUGGGCGUAAAGCGCACGUAGGCGGCUUUUUUAAGUCAGGGGUGAAAUCCUGGAGCUCAACUCCAGAACUGCCUUUGAUACUGGGGAGCUUGAGUCCGGGGAGAGGUGAGUGGAACUGCGAGUGUAGAGGUGAAAUUCGUAGAUAUUUCGCAAGAACACCAGUGGCGAAGGCGGCUCACUGGCCCGGUACUGACGCUGAGGUGCGAAAGCGUGGGGGAGCAAACAGG
rnacentral:rRNA from 1 species